GCGCGAAAACUUCGCAAUGGGGGAAACCCCGACGAGGGAACUCCAAGUGCCGGCACUACGUGUCGGCUGUUUGCAAGCCUAAAAAGCUCGUAGAGUAAGGGCUGGGUAAGACGGGUGCCAGCCGCCGCGGUAAUACCUGCAGCCCGAGUGGUGGCCGUUAUUAUUGGGCCUAAAGCGUCCGUAGCCGGCUUGGUAGAUGCCUGUGUAAAUCGAACGGCUUAACCGUUCGAAUUGCGGGUAGACCGCCAGGCUUGGGACCGGGAGAGCCUCGAGGUACUCCAGGGGUAGAGGUGAAAUUCUGUAAUCCUUGGGGGACCACCGGUGGCGAAGGCGUCGAGGUUGAACGGCUCCGACGGUGAGGGACGAAGCCCUGGGGCGCAAACCGG
rnacentral:rRNA from 1 species